rnacentral:rRNA from 1 species
AUUGAUUUUAUGCUUGCAUAAAUGAUUUUUGGAUUCGGAGCGAGUGGCGAACUGGUGAGUAACACGUGGGUAACCUGCCCCGAAGCGGGGGAUAACAUUUGGAAACAAGUGCUAAUACCGCAUAAUUAGUUGGAACCGCAUGGUUCCAACUUGAAAGAUGGCUCUGCUAUCACUUUGGGAUGGACCCGCGCCGUAUUAGUUAGUUGGUGAGAUAAAAGCCCACCAAGACGAUGAUACGUAGCCGACCUGAGAGGGUAAUCGGCCACAUUGGGACUGAGACACGGCCCAGACUCCUACGGGAGGCAGCAGUAGGGAAUCUUCCACAAUGGACGAAAGUCUGAUGGAGCAACGCCGCGUGAGUGAUGAAGGUUUUCGGAUCGUAAAACUCUGUUGUUAAAGAAGAACAAGUGUUAGAGUAACUGUUAACACUUUGACGGUAUUUAACCAGAAAGCCACGGCUAACUACGUGCCAGCAGCCGCGGUAAUACGUAGGUGGCAAGCGUUGUCCGGAUUUAUUGGGCGUAAAGCGAGCGCAGGCGGUUUUGUAAGUCUGCUGUGAAAGCCCUCAGCUCAACUGAGGAAGUGCAGUGGAAACUACAAAACUUGAGUACAGAAGAGGAAAGUGGAACUCCAUGUGUAGCGGUGAAAUGCGUAGAUAUAUGGAAGAACACCAGUGGCGAAGGCGGCUUUCUGGUCUGUUACUGACGCUGAGGCUCGAAAGCAUGGGUAGCGAACAGGAUUAGAUACCCUGGUAGUCCAUGCCGUAAACGAUGAAUACUAGGUGUUGGAGGGUUUCCGCCCUUCAGUGCCGCAGCUAACGCAUUAAGUAUUCCGCCUGGGGAGUACGACCGCAAGGUUGAAACUCAAAGGAAUUGACGGGGGCCCGCACAAGUGGUGGAGCAUGUGGUUUAAUUCGAUGCUACGCGAAGAACCUUACCAGCUCUUGACAUCUUCUGCCAACCCAAGAGAUUGGGCGUUCCCUUCGGGGACAGAAUGACAGGUGGCGCAUGGUUGUCGUCAGCUCGUGUCGUGAGAUGUUGGGUUAAGUCCCGCAACGAGCGCAACCCUUAUUAUUAGUUGCCAGCAUUUAGUUGGGCACUCUAGUGAGACUGCCGGUGAUAAA